rnacentral:rRNA from 1 species
CGAAAUUCCUUGUCGGGUAAGUUCCGACCUGCACGAAUGGAGUAACGACUUGGGCGCUGUCUCAACCAUGGACUCGGCGAAAUUGCACUACGAGUAAAGAUGCUCGUUACGCGCGGCAGGACGGAAAGACCCCGGGACCUUCACUAUAGUUUGGUAUUGGUGUUUGGUUCAGUUUGUGUAGGAUAGGUGGGAGACUGUGAAGCAGGGACGCCAGUUCUUGUGGAGUCAACGUUGAAAUACCACUCUGACUGUACUAGAUAUCUAACCUAGGUCCGUGAUCCGGAUCAGGGACAGUGCCUGAUGGGUAGUUUAACUGGGGCGGUUGCCUCCUAAAAUGUAACGGAGGCGCCCAAAGGUUCCCUCAGCCUGGUUGGCAAUCAGGUUUUGAGUGUAAGUGCACAAGGGAGCUUGACUGUGAGAGAGACAUCUCGAGCAGGGACGAAAGUCGGGACUAGUGACCCGGCGCUGGCAUGUGGAAGCGGCGUCGCUCAACGGAUAAAAGGUACCCCGGGGAUAACAGGCUGAUCUUCCCCAAGAGUCCAUAUCGACGGGAUGGUUUGGCACCUCGAUGUCGGCUCGUCGCAUCCUGGGGCCGUAGCAGGUCCCAAGGGUUGGGCUGUUCGCCCAUUAAAGCGGCACGCGAGCUGGGUUUAGAACGUCGUGAGACAGUUCGGUCCCUAUCCGCCGCGCGCGUAGGAAACUUGAGAAAGGCUGUCCCUAGUACGAGAGGACCGGGAUGGACGAACCUCUGGUGUGCCAGUUGUUUUGCCAAGAGCACGGCUGGUUGGCUACGUUCGGAAGUGAUAACCGCUGAAAGCAUCUAAGCGGGAAGCACGUUUCAAGAUGAGGUUUCCCACUGGUUUACCAGGUAAGGCCCCCAGCAGAUUACUGGGUUGAUAGGCCGGAAGUAGAAGUGCGGCAACGCAUGGAGCUGACCGGUACUAAUAGGCCGAGGGCUUGUCUUU